UGAGUAAUGUCUGGGAAACUGCCCGAUGGAGGGGGAUAACUACUGGAAACGGUAGCUAAUACCGCACAACGUCUCAAGACCAAAGAGGGGGACCUUCUGGCCUCUUGCCAUCGAAUGUGCCCAGAUGGGAUUACCUAGUAGGUGGGGUAACGGCCCACCUAGGCGACGAUCCCUAGCUGGUCUGAGAGGAUGACCAGCCCCACUGGAACUGAGACACGACCCAGACUCCUACCGGAGGCAACGGUGGGGAAUAUUGCACAGUGGGCGCAAGCCUGAUGCAACCCUGCCGCGUGUAUGAAGAAAGCCUUCCGGUUGUAAAGUACUUUCGGCGGGGAGGAAGGCGAUACGGUUAAUAACCGUGUCGAUUGACUGUACCCGCAGAAUAAGCACCGGCUAACUCCGUGCCAGCAGCCGC
rnacentral:rRNA from 1 species